rnacentral:rRNA from 1 species
UACGUAGGGGGCAAGCGUUGUCCGGAAUUAUUGGGCGUAAAGAGCGCGUAGGCGGUCCGAUAAGUCGGCUGUGAAAGUCCGGGGCUCAACCCUUGGAAGCCGGCCGAUACUGUCGGACUAGAGUCCGGAAGAGGCGAGUGGAAUUCCCGGUGUAGCGGUGAAAUGCGCAGAUAUCGGGAGGAACACCAAUGGCGAAGGCAGCUCGCUGGGACGGUACUGACGCUGAGGCGCGAAAGCGUGGGGAGCAAACAGG